rnacentral:rRNA from 1 species
AGCGAACGCUGGCGGCGUGCUUAACACAUGCAAGUCGAGUGCGUAGCCCUUUGUAGCAAUACAGAGGGUGGGCGCACGGCGCACGGGUGAGUAACACGUGGGUAACCUGCCCUUCGGUGGGGAAUAACCCCGCGAAAGCGGGGCGUAAUUCCGCAUAACAUUCCGGGGACGACAUGUUCUCGGACUCAAAGGAGUGAUUCGCCGGAGGAGGGGCCCGCGCCCGAUUAGCUUGUUGGUAGGGUAACGGCCACCAAGGCUUUGAUCGGUAGCCGGUCUGAGAGGGUGGCCGGCCACACUGGAACUGAGACACGGUCCAGACUCCUACGGGAGGCAGCAGUGGGGAAUCUUGCGCAAUGGGCGAAAGCCUGACGCAGCGACGCCGCGU